AGUCACUGCUCCACCCCUUGGGCAGUGCUAAGCAAAUUGAAAGACUGUGACUGGUUCCCUUAAAGUGGGGGCAUGACAGGAAGGGACUUAAGAUAAAACUGCUGUGAAAGGCCAGCUCAAUGAUUGAGUCACUCACUCUUAGUUGGUGAGCCUGUCUGGAGGAGGAGAUUUUUUUCCCUGGAUCCUGCAUCAGCUUGCUGGGCAACCCAGAAUGUGGAAAAUAUUUCUGGAGGACCUGGCAUCAGGAAAAGUUGGGGGUUAAUUCUGUCCUUUAAUACUUAUUUGUUAUAUGACUAUAAAGUUGUUAAUUGACUUA